rnacentral:rRNA from 1 species
UACGAAGGGUGCGAGCGUUAUUCGGAAUUAUUGGGCGUAAAGGGUGCGCAGGCGGUGCGCUAAGUCAACUGUUAAAUCUCCCAGCCUAACUGGGAAUCAGCGGUAGAUACUGGUGCGCUAGAGGGUGGAAGAGAGAAGUGGAAUUCUUGGAGUAGCGGUAAAAUGCGUAGAUCUCAAGAGGAACACCGAUGGCGAAGGCAGCUUCUUGGUCCACAUCUGACGCUCAAGCACGAAAGCGUGGGGAGCAAACAGG